rnacentral:rRNA from 1 species
GAUGAACGCUGGCGGCGUGCUUAACACAUGCAAGUCGAACGGAAAGGCUCCUGCUUGCAGGGGUACUCGAGUGGCGAACGGGUGAGUAACACGUGGGUGAUCUGCCCUGCACUUCGGGAUAAGCCUGGGAAACUGGGUCUAAUACCGGAUAGGACGAUGGUUUGGAUGCCAUUGUGGAAAGUUUUUUCGGUGUGGGAUGAGCUCGCGGCCUAUCAGCUUGUUGGUGGGGUAAUGGCCUACCAAGGCGUCGACGGGUAGCCGGCCUGAGAGGGUGUACGGCCACAUUGGGACUGAGAUACGGCCCAGACUCCUACGGGAGGCAGCAGUGGGGAAUAUUGCACAAUGGGCGCAAGCCGGAUGCAGCGACGCCGCGUGGGGGAUGACGGCCUUCGGGUUGUAAACUCCUUUCGCUAGGGACGAAGCGCAAGUGACGGUACCUGGAGAAGAAGCACCGGCGAACUACGU